rnacentral:rRNA from 1 species
UGCCAGCCGCCGCGGUAAUACGGAGGGUGCAAGCGUUGUUCGGAAUUAUUGGGCGUAAAGCGCGCGUAGGCGGUUUAUUAAGUCGGAUGUGAAAGCCCUGGGCUUAACCUGGGAACUGCAUUCGAUACUGGUCGACUAGAGUGCAAGAGAGGGAGGUAGAAUUCCAUGUGUAGCGGUGAAAUGCGUAGAUAUGUGGAGGAAUACCGGUGGCGAAGGCGGCCUCCUGGCUUGACACUGACGCUGAGGUGCGAAAGCGUGGGGAGCAAACAGGAUUAGAUA